GGGGUUGUAGCUCAGAGGCAGAGCACAUGCCUCUCAUGCAUGAGGUACUGGGUUCAACCCUCAACACUA
rnacentral:tRNA from 1 species